rnacentral:tRNA from 1 species
GCCGGGGUGGCAGAGCGGACAAAUCCAACGGAGUAACAACCUGUUGUCCCUUUUGGGACUCCUGGGUUCGAAUCCCAGCCCCGGCG